rnacentral:vault_RNA from 1 species
GGGCUGGCUUUAGCUCAGCGGUUACUUCGACAGAGCGUUCUACUUGGUACCUGCCACUCGUGGUUGUGUUUGAGCCCCGCCACCAACUGCUUA